CGGGUGAGUAUAAUGUGGGAAUCUGCCUUUUGGUUUGGAAUAACACGGGGAAACUUGUGCUAAUACCGAAUAAGCCCUUACGGGGAAAGUUUUAACGCCGAAAGAUGAGCCCGCACUUGAUUAGCUAGUUGGUAAGGUAAAAGCUUACCAAGGCAAUGAUCAAUAGCUGUUCUUAGAGGAAGACCAGCCACAUUGGGACUGAGACACGGCCCAGACUCCUACGGGAGGCAGCAGUGGGGAAUCUUGCACAAUGGGGGAAACCCUGAUGCAGCGAUGCCGCGUGAGUGAAGAAGGCCUUUGGGUUGUAAAACUCUUUCGUCGGGGAAGAAAAUGACUGUACCCGAAUAAGAAGGUCCGGCUAACUUCGUGCCAGCAGCCGCGGUAAUACGAAGGGACCUAGCGUAGUUCGGAAUUACUGGGCUUAAAGAGCUCGUAGGUGGUUAAAAAAGUUGAUGGUGAAAUCCCAAGGCUCAACCUUGGAACUGCCAU
rnacentral:rRNA from 1 species